rnacentral:tRNA from 1 species
UCCCCAGUGGCUUAGUAGUAAAGAAUCUGCCUGCAAUUGCAGGAGAUCCAAGUUCAAUUCCUGGGUUGGGAA